rnacentral:rRNA from 1 species
UGGGGAAUUUUGGACAAUGGGCGCAAGCCUGACCCAGCCAUGCCGCGUGCGGGAAGAAGGCCUUCGGGUUGUAAACCGCUUUUGUCAGGGAAGAAAUCUUCUGAGUUAAUACCUCGGGAGGAUGACGGUACCUGAAGAAUAAGCACCGGCUAACUACGUGCCAGCAGCCGCGGUAAUACGUAGGGUGCAAGCGUUAAUCGGAAUUACUGGGCGUAAAGCGUGCGCAGGCGGUUUUGUAAGACAGAGGUGAAAUCCCCGGGCUCAACCUGGGAACUGCCUUUGUGACUGCAAGGCUUGAGUGCGGCAGAGGGGGGAUGGAAUUCCGCGUGUAGCAGUGAAAUGCGUAGAUAUGCGGAGGAACAUCGAUGGCGAAGGCAAUCCCCUGGGCCUGCACUGACGCUCAUGCACGAAAGCGUGGGGAGCAAACAGGAUUAGAUACCCUGGUAGUCCACGCCCUAAACGAUGUCAACUGGUUGUUGGGAAGGUUCCUUCUCAGUAACGUAGCUAACGCGUG